CGGAGGAUCCAAGCGUUAUCCGGAAUCAUUGGGUUUAAAGGGUCCGUAGGCGGUCAGAUAAGUCAGUGGUGAAAGCCCAUCGCUCAACGGUGGAACGGCCAUUGAUACUGUCUGACUUGAAUUAUUAGGAAGUAACUAGAAUAUGUAGUGUAGCGGUGAAAUGCUUAGAGAUUACAUGGAAUACCAAUUGCGAAGGCAGGUUACUACUAAUAUAUUGACGCUGAUGGACGAAAGCGUGGGUAGCGAACAGGAUU
rnacentral:rRNA from 1 species